UGGUGGAGUGAUUUGUCUGGUUAAUUCCGUUAACGAACGAGACCUCGACCUGCUAAAUAGUUCGACGAAGGAUUCUUCCUUCGGACGCGACUUCUUAGAGGGACUAUCGGUGUGUAGCCGACGGAAGUUCGAGGCAAUAACA
rnacentral:rRNA from 1 species